rnacentral:rRNA from 1 species
AGGGAAUCUUCCGCAAUGGACGAAAGUCUGACGGAGCAACGCCGCGUGAGUGAUGAAGGUCUUCGGAUCGUAAAACUCUGUUGUUAGAGAAGAACAAGUACCGUUCGAAUAGGGCGGUACCUUGACGGUACCUAACCAGAAAGCCACGGCUAACUACGUGCCAGCAGCCGCGGUAAUACGUAGGUGGCAAGCGUUGUCCGGAAUUAUUGGGCGUAAAGCGCGCGCAGGCGGUUUCUUAAGUCUGAUGUGAAAGCCCACGGCUCAACCGUGGAGGGUCAUUGGAAACUGGGAGACUUGAGUGCAGAAGAGGAGAGUGGAAUUCCACGUGUAGCGGUGAAAUGCGUAGAGAUGUGGAGGAACACCAGUGGCGAAGGCGACUCUCUGGUCUGUAACUGACGCUGAGGCGCGAAAGCGUGGGGAGCGAAC